rnacentral:snRNA from 1 species
GGGUGUGCUGGGUUACAGCUAUCACCCAUUCAUAGCCAAGGUGGGUUUAGCUGACCUGGGAGGCUAAUACAGUGUUUCCUGCCUUCCCUAGUGUCCUGAGGUUACCCACUUGGUCAAAAGGAAAACGUUCCCUGACAGGAGGUAUGUUCUUCAGUCUAGGGUAUUCAAGUAGUUGUGGCCUGGCUAGAGCCUCGGGCCAAGACUCCAGACACAGCCAAGGGAGGCACUUUACAUAUCAGAAUGCUUCUCU